rnacentral:rRNA from 1 species
AACGAACGCUGGCGGCAUGCCUAACACAUGCAAGUCGAACGAUCCCUUCGGGGAUAGUGGCGCACGGGUGCGUAACGCGUGGGAACCUGCCCUUAGGUUCGGAAUAACUCAGAGAAAUUUGAGCUAAUACCGGAUAAUGUCUUCGGACCAAAGAUUUAUCGCCUUUGGAUGGGCCCGCGUUGGAUUAGCUAGUUGGUGGGGUAAAGGCCUACCAAGGCGACGAUCCAUAGCUGGUCUGAGAGGAUGAUCAGCCACACUGGGACUGAGACACGGCCCAGACUCCUACGGGAGGCAGCAGUGGGGAAUAUUGAACAAUGGGCGAAAGCCUGAUCCAGCAAUGCCGCGUGAGUGAUGAAGGCCUUAGGGUUGUAAAGCUCUUUUACCCGGGAUGAUAAUGACAGUACCGGGAGAAUAAGCCCCGGCUAACUCCGUG